rnacentral:lncRNA from 1 species
UUCAAAUAUAUUUAUAAAUAUAAAUAUAUUUUAUAUCUUAAUAAAUUACAAAAAUGUCAAAAAAAAUAAAAAGUAAAAGCAAAUACAAAAUUUAUGUCUAAUAAAUACAAAAUUCACAUCUAACAAAUAUGAAAUGUACAGUCCUAUUACAUUGAUAUUUGGAGACUCAUUCUUGGUCAAUAACCUCCAAUCCUUUGGUCAUUCACCCAUACAUCACCCUCUCCUACUCUUGUGAAAUCAAUUGCAAUGGGGUCAUCACCAAUGGUUGUAGCAAUAGCAAAACUUAUCUGGGUCAACACUAUUUUUACUUGUUAGCUUCAUAUGAGACAUCAUUAAAUCAAUGAUAUGUUUGUGAGAAUAAAUGACAAAAUGCAUGUCUUUUUCCUUUUUUUUUUCAAAAAAAAAAAGGAAAAAGACCAAAGUUCAUACUUGCAUAUUCUGCAAAGCUAAACGAAAAAAAAACAAAAAGUAAUAAAUACAAUUUCAUUCUCUUCAAGAUAUUCUCCCAUUUUCACAUAAAUCAGCAAAUUAGAAUAUCAUAUAUUCACAUAAGGCAUACAACAUGAUAUUAUGGAUCCUAUUUUGAAUUGAAUUUGGAAAAAUGAAAAUUAAUUAAUAUUUGAGGUUACCUUGAAAGGCUGAUGAUGUUUGAAGACACCUACUAGGAAGGCCUAAUUGUUCACCUUGAAGCCCAUUCUGCACUCACACAAGGAAAAACGACAAUUAACUCUGACAUUGUUUUAUAGAACAUAGCUUGAAACAAAACUUAAAUCAUAAAGAAUUGAUCUGAUGACUUUUUUGUUAAUCCAAAUUAGCCUCGGUCUUCAAUAGUCAAUAAUUUUUUUAACAAAAGCAAUACAAGAUGUACUUAAUGUAGUUUUCUCAAGUAAGCAAAAUGUUUUAGUUUUAAGAGAAAACACAAAUAAAUAGAUGCAGUAAAUUGGAAUUUAAAGUAUUGAAGAGGUAGUUAAAAUAAGAAUCGAAUGCUCUUGCAAAUGUUUUUAUCCAAGUAGAAUUUUGACAAAUGCAGUCUCAAAAUAGUUAUGAAUAUAUAUGAUUAAAGCACGGAAAAUGGAUAAGUCUGAUUAACUAAACACCAACAAUUAAAGAUGCAAAAAACUAAAGUGAAAAAAAGACAAAGGUGAUGAAAAAAAUGCACAAGUUCAUCAAGAACCCAUCAGUAUCACACAACAGAAAAAGUAUCAGCUACAAGUCUACAACUUCACAGCUAUAAUUAACGGACUUGAAUGCUGCUCAAUAUAUUAAGCAGAAAAAUAUAAACUUCUACAUGUUGGGGUGAAAUAUUGUAUAUUCUAAUGAAUGCUCCAAACAAAUAAUCAAACAGAGACAUAUUAUCGUGUGCAAUUAUAGCAGCUAUUACAUUUAGAGGAGCAUGUUAUGUUUGAUAUUUAACAUCAGCAUUUUUAAAUAUUAGUCAUUGCCUUUUGUUCUCAAAAUACCAAAGAUUAAAAAGAAAGGAAAACAAAUGUAGCUUUAACUGAUUAUUAACAGCUUUUCAUCCAAACUUGGCCGACUUCUUAUAAAAUCUAUAGAAAAGAUGACAGUUUCAUCAUCAAAACUUUAAGUAAUCCACAAUUCACCUACAUUGGCACAAUUUGAUCACAGAAACAAUAAUUACCAAUACUACAACAACUUAACAAAACCUGAAAUCAAUGCUACAAACGGAAAAUAUAAUUACAGUACAAACCGUCAAUAGCAGUAGCCGGAACACCCAACAAUCAUCAAAUUUAAUAAUCUUAUAAUCAAAACGCUCAAGGUUUUCUGGAGAACCCAUUUCUAACUUCAAUUUCCUCAAAUUGUAAAUAAUUUUAUCAAUUUCCUAAAAUUUAUGAAUUUCAACCUUAGGUUUAAAACUCGAGUACUCAAUCAAAAACUCAAAAAUUUAAACAAAAUAAACUAAAUAAGAGUGUUAAAAAUUAUCAAUUUCCCACCUACUCCACCGGAGAAAACCGCCGUUAAUCGCCUAGAUGAGGCGAAUAUGAAGCUGCGUUACUUUCUCCCUACUGUCGAACAAAGGACAAGCCACAGAUUGCACAAAAAGGACAACAGCAAAGAGAGGAGGCCGAGUCCGUCGAGUUUGCAGCUUCUCUGGUUGGAUUUUGGUCGCUUAGUCGCCGAAAAAUGGAGGAGAAUUUACACAGGUUGGAGGAGCAGCGAUGUAACGUAAUGGAAAACGAGGAAGGGGCUUUCUGGUCUAAUUCGACUUUCCCAAGUAAAUUUAAAAGGGAAAAUAAUUAUUUUAUCCUUAGAUAUUUUACAAAAUUA